UAGUAUUUAGUUUAAUGGGAAAACUUUGUGUUUACACCACAAAAAAAAAAGUUCAAUUCUUUUAAUACUAA
rnacentral:tRNA from 2 species